rnacentral:lncRNA from 1 species
AUGCUGUUUCUUUCAGAGAAGCACAUUCUACUUUAUGAAUAUCUUCAGAGAAUUGUGGUGCCUGUAAUUGGGGAUGGCUCCCUAGAGGGGCUGCUCUCCAGGCACAGAGCCUAUGCUCCACCAGAGAGUCCCUUCUGCAAGCAGAGCAGUAGCCCCUGCCCACCCUGGAGGGAAUCCUCCUCUAACUGCCAACUUUGGUUGACAGAUAAAAGGGAAAUUCCUUUGACCUGGCAAGCCACAGAGAAACUGUUCCACUCACAGCAUCCAGAAGGAAAAGAUUCAGAAACCAAGUGGCCAUCCCUGAUGUACAGCUGAUUGGACAUGAGUGGGGACUGGGAAGAAAUCGAAAUAAUUUGCUUCUCUCUUCUAAUCAUUCAGGAUGCGACACUGAGAGGGUAAGUGAAAUGAAUGAAGGUAAGGGUUUAAUGUGAAAAUUCAUGAUAAGCCAAGGAUGAUGCUAAUAUCAUGUAAUGUCAAAGUCACUUUCAAGUUAUGGAAUCCACAAAGAAACCGAAUAAGCCAGUCUUUCGAGAAAUCGGAAUCAUAAAGCCAUACAUAGGGAAAAACAAAGAUGGGGGACCCAUAACUUAUGAUAGAAAAGACUAAUCUGGAGUCUUGGCUUUCAGUUCCAAUCUUCUUGUGCCCAAGCUUUUAACAUGUUUCUUGUCCUUGGUUGUCUUUGAUAAUACCUUCAAAUAACUUCCUUUUUACUUGACCUAGUAGCUUUUGAUCCUUUCCACCGAAUGAUCCCACACUACAAAGUUAUGUUUCAAAUUUGGUGAAAUAUAUUUCAUAGGAAGGAAUGAUGUCUUUCCCAAAAUUGUGAAUAUCAGAUGUCACCAGGAAAUUAUACAAUAUUUGACUACAAUUUUUACACUGAAUUUCUAGAUCUUUGUUUGCGGUUGUGAUAAUAUUUUAGGUAUGUAAUUUUUUCUCCUGUAUUUUCCUCUCCUUUCCUCCCAUUCAGCAAGUACCUAACUUGUUGCCUCAUAGGACAAGUUUUUGCAUGUAGGGUGUGUGCGUAAAUACUGCUCUUCUGGCUUGGGUUUCCAGAAGCCUUGGGCUGGGUUAUGAAGUCAGGAUUAUAUGGCGUAAGCCCAUGCCUUGGUGGUCUCAGAGCGGACCCCUCACAUUCAGGCACAACACUAGGCUGACUUAGUACAGGACACGGAUGACAAGUGGUGAUAGAACUUAACGUAGUCUUUCAAAGCUUUGCUUCUAACCGCGGGGACUGGUUCUCCUCAUGCUUGCAUUUGGAAUAUAUACAAGGUUCCCAAGAAAGUCUACUGAAUUAAAUUGAAUACAGGAACUCCCAGGAGCGCUCCCCUCCCUGUGCCUGAGGUAAAUAGAAAGUACCAGUAGUUCUGGGACUCCGCACCUGGCUUCCAAAACUCAUCCAACAGCCUUCACUUGCUUUUGUGUGGCAGUUUAGUUCAUGCUCGCAUCAGCUUAUUGAGAAUCCAGCCAUUACCUAGACACUGGAGUUACAGAGAUGAAAAAUCCAGUUUCUGUCUUCAAAGCAAGCGUAACUAAAAACUUCCAGUAUAACGUUAUACAACCAUGCCAGAGCAAUACACAAAGUUCUUUGGGUGCAUGAUGAAAGGCCGCUGAGUCAACUUGAUAUUUUUGGGAAAUUCCUUGCAGAAGAUGGCAAACAGGUGAAUUUUGGAAUUGAUCUGGUACAGAAUGGGACAUAGACCUAUGCAAGGCAUUUCUAGGAGAUGGGCCUAUAUAAGACAGGGGUUGAAAUAUGACCCUGCAGGGUAUAUGUGAGGAUCACUCAGGCUAAUGCAGGUGACAAAUGAUGAGGGCUCAAUUCACUGCUAAUAAAAAUAGGGAAGACGGAGCUGAGAAAAAUUUA